UAUCGUGUAAAUUAUCAACAUAAUUUGUGUUUUGAUGAAAAGAGUAAGUAAGAAUAUAAAUAACCCUCACUCGAAAAUUUCUUCAUAAAGUUUGAAGAAAUGGCGUCUUGGCAAUAAUGUAGUAGCUCUUAUGCUGGUUAUAACAACCACAGUAUUUGCAUUGGACUGUGAGUUUGAAGGUUCAACCUACGAAAAUGGCACAUCAACUAUUCUAGAUGCCUAUCCAUGCGUAACAUAUUCCUGUAAAGAUGGCAAUUUCGCAUCCAGUAAAAUUCAAUGCGCAGAUAAAGAUGGAAACUGCAAUGAUCCUGGCGACAUCUUUUCACUGGUGAUAAAGGGUAUAACCUGGGAUACAUGUAAUUGCACAGUAACAGCUGAUGAUAAAGUCAACUAUUAUUGUUCCUAAAUAAAGUAAUAAAAAAUAAUUCACCAAAACAA